GACGGGGGGUUCAAGCGUUGUUCGGAAUCAUUGGGCGUAAAGCGCGUGCAGGUGGCUUUGCAAGUCAGAUGUGAAAGCCCAGGGCUUAACCCUGGAAGUGCAUUUGAAACUGCUCAGCUUGAGUAUGGAAGAGGGUCGUGGAAUUCCAGGUGUAGUGGUGAAAUACGUAGAUAUCUGGAGGAACACCGGUGGCGAAGGCGGCGACCUGGUCCAAUACUGACACUCAUACGCGAAAGCGUGGGGAUCAAACAGG
rnacentral:rRNA from 1 species